rnacentral:misc_RNA from 1 species
UGGUUCUCGCAUCGAUGAAGAACGCAGCGAAAUGCGAUAAGUAAUGUGAAUUGCAGAAUUCAGUGAAUCAUCGAAUCUUUGAACGCACAUUGCGCCCCCUGGUAUUCCGGAGGGCACGUCUGUCUGAACGUCAUGAACAAUCUCGAGCUUGCUCGGUGAUGGGUGCCGCCAGUUGGCAGUUCCUGCAAUCCAGUGGCGGAGGCCGUCGUGUGCCGACAUAGUGAACACUUCCUGUCGGUGUGCGAAGGGCAGCCUGCCGUAAGAAACUAUUGACUUGACUUCAGGUCAGACGAGGUUACCCGCUGA